rnacentral:snoRNA from 1 species
GUGAUGAGUCCUUCCGCUUGGGAUUAGUGACUUAACAUGAGGCGUGCCGGCCGCUGA